AGUCUACCUCUAUGGAGAACACACCAGAUACUGGAAUUCUAACACAAGGUGUCAUGUAAACAUGUUGACAGUAUGUUCCAGCCACAAAGAAAGUAGGUAGUUCAGGGGGCUGUGGAGCUGUGCCAGGACUCAGAAGACAGUAAUGACUGAUUUUUCUCAAGUGAAAAGACACAGGAAGAAGGCACCAGCUAUGAGAAAUGGGUCCCUCUUCAGACACUAUUAGCACCUUCAGCCUGAACUUUUCACACUCCCAAAAGGAAAAACAUCAGCUGUGCACUGCUUAGCAUAAGGCAGGAAACAAGCGGGUCACGGUGCCAAUGCUCAUGUGCAAACAGCUCCACAGCAAGCACUGCAGAGCGAAGGGAGGCCAUGCAGUGUGCCGUGGGCCCAAGUGACUCCAAGCCCAACAGUCCGGAAGAGACAGAGAUUGCUGGCCCUCCAGCCCUAAGAAGACAAGAUUUCCAGUCAUACAUUGGUUGAGUGUUUGACAAAGAAACAGUGUUCCUAACAUAAAGGUUUGAGAUGACAGAAAUGCCAAUUACUCUGAUUGUAUCAACACACAUUAUUUCUUGCAUUUUGGUAAAUAGAACAUUUAUAUCUGACUGCUCCAGAACAAUGCAGAAAAUAUGGGCGUUGGGAGAGAUAAUUGGAAUGCAUUUAUUUCUCAAAUUUCUGAAGUUUAAUGGGCAAUGCACACUGGUUCAUUCCCCUUGAUUCAAUGAGGGCCAUUCAAAAUAUCACAUGCUGAUGACAACGUCUAGUGGAAGAAGAUGGACAUUUCUGUGGUAAAUCCCUUUCACCGACAGGAAUAUCUUCCCCGAGGAAUCCUGGAGACAUCUAAUCCAUUUCCUUUCUGAGGACCGUGUUCUUGACCAGGCCCAGGCCCAAGCCUUGAGGGUCCCAUGAAUGGGUCCCACAUCCACCAAGCGGUGGGAAGGGAAAAUAGCAGUGCACACCAGACAGGGACAAAAACUCCUCUCUGUGCCUAAGCACUCAGAUGGGAAGAGAGUGCACAUGUCCCAAAAGGCUGAUAUGAUCUGAUCACAUUUUCCAACGUCACCCAUCUCCUAGGGUGAGAAAUCUCCACAUCUCCCCACAGAGAAGACCUGCCUUUGGGCUCUGGAGGAAAGGUGAUUGCACCCAGUAGAGAAUGACAGCUCUGACUCCAUGCUAGAAGGUUCCUUUAGUUAUAAUUAUCAAAGAUAUUAUACAAAUAAUGGUCUGUUCUUUUCACUGCCCUUGA